GAUGAACGCUAGCGGGAGGCCUAACACAUGCAAGCCGAGCGGUAGAGUUUCUUCGGAAACUUGAGAGCGGCGCACGGGUGCGUAACACGUGUGCAACCUACCUUUAUCUGGGGGAUAGCCUUUCGAAAGGAAGAUUAAUACCCCAUAAUAUAAUGAUUGGCAUCAAUUAUUAUUGAAAACUCCGGUGGAUAGAGAUGGGCACGCGCAAGAUUAGAUAGUUGGUGAGGUAACGGCUCACCAAGUCAAUGAUCUCUAGGGGUCCUGAGAGGGAGAUCCCCCACACUGGUACUGAGACACGGACCAGACUCCUACGGGAGGCAGCAGUGAGGAAUAUUGGACAAUGGGUGAGAGCCUGAUCCAGCCAUCCCGCGUGAAGGAUGACGGUCCUAUGGAUUGUAAACUUCUUUUGUACAGGGAUAAACCUACCCUCGUGAGGGUAGCUGAAGGUACUGUACGAAUAAGCACCGGCUAACUCCGUG
rnacentral:rRNA from 1 species